AUUGAACGCUGGCGGCAUGAUUUACACAUGCAGGUCGAACGGUAACAGGCCGCAAGGUGCUGACGAGUGGCGAACGGGUGAGUAAUGCAUCGGAACGUGCCCAGUCGUGGGGGAUAACUACUCGAAAGAGUAGCUAAUACCGCAUACGAUCUAUGGAUGAAAGCGGGGGACCGUAAGGCCUCGCGCGAUUGGAGCGGCCGAUGUCAGAUUAGGUAGUUGGUGGGGUAAAGGCUCACCAAGCCAACGAUCUGUAGCUGGUCUGAGAGGACGACCAGCCACACUGGGACUGAGACACGGCCCAGACUCCUACGGGAGGCAGCAGUGGGGAAUUUUGGACAAUGGGCGCAAGCCUGAUCCAGCAAUGCCGCGUGCAGGAAGAAGGCCUUCGGGUUGUAAACUGCUUUUGCACGGAACGAAACGGCUCUGGUUAAUACCCGGGGCUAAUGACGGUACCGUAAGAAUAAGCACCGGCUAACUACGUG
rnacentral:rRNA from 1 species